AAUAGAUACCCAGGUAGUCCAUGCCGUAAACGUUGGGAACUAGAUGUAGGGCCUGUUCCACGGGUUCUGUGUCGUAGCUAACGCAUUAAGUUCCCCGCCUGGGGAGUACGGCCGCAAGGCUAAAACUCAAAGGAAUUGACGGGGGCCCGCACAAGCGGCGGAGCAUGCGGAUUAAUUCGAUGCAACGCGAAGAACCUUACCAAGGCUUGACAUAUACCAGAACACUGCAGAAAUGUAGGACUCUUUGGACACUGGUAUACAGGUGGUGCAUGGUUGUCGUCAACUCGUGUCGUGAGAUGUUCGGUUAAGUCCGGCAACGAGCGCAACCCUCGUCCUAUGUUGCCAGCGGUUCGGCCGGGGACUCAUGGGAUACUGCCGUGGUCAACACGGAGGAAGGUGGGGAUGACGUCAAAUCAUCAUGCCCCUUAUGUCUUGGGCUUCACGCAUGCUACAAUGGCCGGUACAAAGGGCGGCGAUACCGUAAGGUGAGCGAAUCCCAAAAAGCCGGUCUCAGUUCGGAUUGGGGUCUGCAACUCGACCCC
rnacentral:rRNA from 1 species